rnacentral:misc_RNA from 1 species
AACGCGCAUUGCACCUCUCGGUAAUCCUUGAGGUAUACCUGUUCGAGCGCCGUUUGUGUACUGAGGCAUUGCCUUGCGAUGAGACUUGUCUGUUACAAGACAGUUUCCAAACACAUGGGCGUCUGCUCUUGACCCUAUUCGCAGCAAAAUGUGGAGAAAGUCAUGUGGCAAACAGCCAGCUAUAUUCUAAGCAUGGCCUCGGAUCAGGUAGGGAUACCCGCUGAACUUAA